UACAGAGGUCUCAAGCGUUGUUCGGAUUCAUUGGGCGUAAAGGGCGCGUAGGCGGCGGGGUAAGUCGGGUGUGAAACCUCAGAGCUCAACUCUGAAACUGCACUCGAUACUGCUCUGCUUGAGGACUGGAGAGGAGACUGGAAUUCACGGUGUAGCAGUGAAAUGCGUAGAUAUCGUGAGGAAGACCAGUGGCGAAGGCGGGUCUCUGGACAGUUCCUGACGCUGAGGCGCGAAGGCCAGGGGAGCAAACGGG
rnacentral:rRNA from 1 species